rnacentral:tRNA from 1 species
CUUGCGUGGCCCGGUCAGUAGCGUUUUCGGCUCGCAACCGAAGGGUCGUGGGUUCUAAUCCCACCUAAAA